GUUUAUUUUGUUCUGCACCUGAAGGCGUUCACUGUACGCCACUUACAAUCUGCGCAAACCGCUGCUGCUGGCUGUUGCCAUUUUUUUUGCGCAGAAGCCGGCACCUUUCUCCCUAUGGGCUGCGGGGCGGAAGAGGGAAAUCUCAUUUGGUGCGCUCUGACGCGAUCUCUUGGCUCUCUCUACUUGGGCAUGUGAAUCUCAAAUAUUCUGAUGAAUCGCAACUUUAUAUUGGCAAAAUGGCAUUGCAGACAACAGCCACAUCAUCGUCAUUGUCGGGCGUGAUUGUCAUCAACAUCAUUUUCAUCAUCGUUGUGGGUUUCGGUUUCUAGAUGUGCUGGCAGCUCGUUCAGGUUGGCUUUGUCAUGGCCAUAACAGUGUGUUCUGGCAGCUACUGUAAGCUCGUUUGUCUCCUUGUCACCGCUGUCCGUUGGACAAUAACACUUUGUUUUCAAUUUGUGCAACCGGACGGCGACCGACAUCGCAACCGCCUGCAAUCCGUACUUGAAAAUCGCCACCACUGCGUCCAUGUCCAGUCCACGUCCCGGCCACAGCUUAGUCAGCUCUCUUUGGGGGCAGCAUUGCUUGGCGCACAUGUGGGCUGCAAUUAAAUGUUCAUUAAAUGCGACAACAACGACGGGCCAGAGAUUGUUUCUCAACAAUUAAUGCGGUCGGGACAAGGAUCGAAUCGCGCCACACUGAUGAUGACAUCCAGCGGUGUUUUUACUGUCGCUCUUUAGCUGUUCCUUUGCUUUGCUUUGCUUUGCUUUGCUUUGCUUUCGAUUCGUUACAGACAGGGAGAGAAUGUGCUGUGUAAUUUACGGCCAUCGUUCUGCGGUGGUCCGCGCGCUCUCUGUCUG
rnacentral:lncRNA from 1 species